rnacentral:lncRNA from 1 species
UUCACAUAUUGCUUGAAUCUGCCACUGACUAGAAUUCAUAAUAGAUACAAACAAACGUUAACGUGUGAGGAGAGACGUUUUGAUAGACUUUAUUAGGAUCGUUCUUACAUCAACAAAAUCGGCGUGCAAUUAAAUGAAAUCAAAAUACAAAGAAUCUCGUAUUUUUGUGAGGACUAUUGUUCGAAUCACGUGAUUAGACAUUCUUAUUUCAUGCUUGAGAAGUUAGCUAGUAUGAUCGGUUGAAGCUGCUCCACAUGUUCACCUAAUCAAUUAAGGUGUUGAAGACCUGCGGAGGCUAGCAAAGUCGGUAGGCCAUUCAAUUUUUUUAACAAUUGUACAUGGAUCUUGAUGGAACUUGUAUGGGUUUACUCAAUCCAAGCGUAACGUGUGUUUAUCCCUUGAAUUUUGAGGGCCCAUUGGGACACUUGGACUAGACAUGUGUGGACCCAUCAACGCCCCCAGUCAUCUGAUCUCCAGAAUGAAUGAUCACGUGCUUCUCACGUGCCCUACUCAUGAUCACGCACUCACAACUCACAGGUAUCUGGACGGUAUAAACAUGUAAUUGUCAAGAGAGUGAUUAAUGUUGAAUUUUAUAUGAUUUCCAAUUAGUAUAGAGACAUGGGAAAUACCGACGAAGCUCUCUCAAAGUUACUUUUAUUGGGUUUCUGUCAAUUUACAGUUUUACAUUAAUUUUUUAUAAUAAUAUUAUAAAAUAUUAUGUUAAAAUAUAAAGUGAUAAAUAAUA